GGCCCUGUGGCGCAACGGUAGCGCAUCUGACAGAUCAGAAGGUCGUCCGUUCGAAUCGGGGCGGGGUCA
rfam:Perkinsus marinus ATCC 50983 gcontig_1104296675420, whole genome shotgun sequence.